rnacentral:rRNA from 1 species
GUUGACAGAUUGAUAGCUCUUUCUUGAUUCGGUGGGUGGUGGUGCAUGGCCGUUCUUAGUUGGUGGAGCGAUUUGUCUGGUUAAUUCCGAUAACGAACGAGACUCUAGCCUAUUAAAUAGUUCGUUGGUCCUUCGAUGUGCCAACGCAACUUCUUAGAGGGACGAGUGGCUUUUAGCCACACGAGAUUGAGCAAUAACAGGUCUGUGAUGCCCUUAGAUGUCCGGGGCCGCACGCGCGCUACACUGAAGGAAUCAGCGUGGAUACCCCCCUGGCCCGAAAGGGCUGGGAAACCCGUUGAAUCUCCUUCGUGCUAGGGAUUGGGGCUUGUAAUUCUUCCCCAUGAACGAGGAAUUCCCAGUAAGCGCCAGUCAUAAGCUGGCGUUGAUUACGUCCCUCCCCCU